UUUGAUGGAAGGCUUCAUCUCGGCGGCGCCAUGGCGGCGAGGUCGAGGGGAUGAUGCUCAUCCAUGAUCUAGUAUGGUGUCCGCGAGUGGUGGCUCCGGUCCUAUGCCUUGGUAACAUCGACGGUAGGCGACAGUUCUAGGAGGCGAGGAGUAUGGGGACAUUCCCCGGUCAACGUGCCACAAAGAAUUUGGCUCCGCCGGUGGCGGGCCUCUCCAUCGACUCACAAGCUCUUUCGGGCAAUGGUGCUCUAUCAACUCCAACAAUGGAUUGCAGCAAGAAUAGCGGUUGUAUUGAUCCUGAACGUGUAUUUUUCCUUGCCUUUAUUUGCGAUUCCAUGUGCAUGCGUUGUAUUGCGUCUUGCUAUGAGUGAUUAGUGAUAAUCUUCUAAAAACAUUUUGAUGAAAGAAAAUAAAGUUGCACUCAUCAUA